UGCAGAGGGUGCGAGCGUUAAUCGGAAUUACUGGGCGUAAAGCGCACGUAGGUGCCGACGUAAGUCGGGUGUGAAAGCCCCGAGCUCAACCUGGGAAUUGCAUUCGAGACUGCAUUGCUGGAGUACGGAAGAGGAGGGCGGAAUUACCGGUGUAGCGGUGAAAUGCGUAGAUAACGGGAGGAACAUCAGUGGCGAAGGCGGCCCUCUGGUCCAGUACUGACACUCAAGUGCGAAAGCGUGGGGAGCAAACAGG
rnacentral:rRNA from 1 species